GGUGGCUAUUAGGAACAUAGGGUAUGGUGUGAGAUGGGGUGUUGAUUGAACUAAUAAAAUCCCUCAAGAUAAAAUACCGGGACUGUAAUAAUACUUCAGGGUUCGCUAAAUAAAUAGCUCGUGAAAAUACUUGAAUGCUAAAUUAAAUAAAUAUGCAAUGCAUAUAAAUUCAAUAACUAAAUUUACAAAUGUUUUUUUGUAAAUCAUUUUUUUGUUGGAAUUAAAAAUAAAUUUAUUUUCUUUAUAUCCGGCGUGAAUCAUCUUAAUCUAAGUUUUAAAAAAAAUUCUAAAUUUAAUAUAAAUAGGCGGGGUGUUACAGAGACGUGCUCGGAAGCCAACGCAAUGUAGUAUAGUUGCUAGGCCUCCGGCCGAUCUACCGGAAAGAAUAACCUGCAAAUAAAUAAAUAUCUUGUAAAUUAAGUAAUUAAUUUAAAUGUGACAUUGCAAUUAAUUAAAAAAAAAUCAUUAAUUUCCCUGUUGGAAUAUAAGUAUAUAAAUGGAUAAUUUAUUUAAUUGAUGGGAGAAAAUAUGGAGAAAUAUUGUGCAAGUGUGUGGACGUGUGUGUGUAUUUAAGAAAUGUGGAGAUCAAAAUGUAAUGUGAAGUAUUUAAUGCUAUUUCUUUUCUUCACUUCCAAAUUGAAAUGAUACAAUAUAUAUUUAUAGUGUACAAUGUCGGUUAACUAGCCGACUUAGUCAAUCUCUAGAACAAUCUAGCUAGGCUUACAUUCUUAUAGAUUAAGUAAUGCAAGUUGCAUUUAUAAAUUAAGUUCUAGACUAUUCUACUUAGUUCCUAUAUUUUAUUUUUAUUCUUUAUUCUAGAUUUUUCUUCUCAAAUAUCUUUACUUAAAAAUCAAGUUUAUUUAUAUUUCAACAUUCCCUACAUUCUCUCCGGCACCAAUUCCCUUAGCCAAAAGUUCCUCCACCAGAGCAUCGAAAUUCCUCGACCCUCUGAAUUGAACUAUUGGUCCCUGAUUAUUUAUAUUAAUUAUUUUAAUAAAUAUAUAGAGAUGGAUCGAUGAUUUAAUGAAUUAUUUUCAAAAUUUAUAUAUGCUACAACUUACUUGACCAUCAUCAACUACAGUGUCUCCGAGGAAUGAUGCCUGGUCACA
rnacentral:lncRNA from 1 species